rnacentral:rRNA from 1 species
GUGAGUCAUCGAAUCUUUGAACGCAAAUUGCGCUCCUUGGUAUUCCGAGGAGCAUGCCUGUUUGAGUGUCAUGAAAUCAUCCACCCUGACUUUUGGUUAAUUCCAUCGGUCUUGGCUGGGACUUGGGCGCUUGCCUCUGAUGAAGCGGCUCGCCUUAAAAUGAUUUCGGAUUGACUCUGUCUGCAGUCGGUUUGACUUGGCGUUAUAAGUUAUUUCGCUAAGGACAUCUUCGGAUGGCCGAUCAAUGAUAGCUGUCUUGCGCUGCGUGUGUCUCACACUACCAGUGCGCUCCAUCUUUGACAUCUGGCCUCAAAUCAGGUAGGACUACCCGCUGAACUUAA